GUCUCCAUGAUGUAGUGGUUAGCACCACUGCUUGUUAACCGUAGAUUCCAGGUUCAAUUCCUGGCUGGGGAGG